ensembl:lncRNA novel transcript, antisense to CTU2
UGUUGUGAACACAUCUGAGAACCCCCCAAGUGUCCAGGCCGCAGGGUGGACUGCUCUCUAGCCCCAACCAAGAGCCCCUCAGCAGGCUGAGAAGGGAGGCCCCCAGCCUGAAGCUCAGCCCAGCAGCCCGGGCCCACGGGGUGGUGAACACGCACCUCAAGAACCUGCCAGACCAUGGAGCUGGACGAAGGCCCCCCAGACCACGCCAAGAGCACCUGGGGGAGAAAAAACAUCACUCAGGGCACCGCACCUCCAACACAGGCAGACACCCCACCUCGUGGACAUCUAGGACAUCGAGUCUGUCCUCAAAGGCCAAGGAGGAGCUGGCGGGCUGCAGCAGGCCAGGCUGCCUGUGGGAGGGACAAGCAGGGACCUCGAGGGGCCAGGCUGCUCAGUCAGACCCCCAGGACCCAGACGCUACCUUCUCGCCUGGAAAGAUGAGCCGGUUCUUGCCCAGCAUGGCUCUGAACUUGUGGACGUAGAAGGCCUUGAAACAGUCCCUGCAACACAGACCUGAGAUGAGGGAACCGCCUGCUACCCGCACAGUGAGCAGCGUCCUGAGGCGCUGCCAGGUGACGACGUCCUUUGCCAAUCUCCAUCUUUAAAAGCAGCAUCUUCACAUCCAGGCUCUGUCCAGAGACUGGUGAAAGGGGCGGGGUUGGCCCCUCUGGCAGUGGCUUCCUCAGGGUGAACACGAGGCUCACCGGCCCCUCCCACGACCAGGUACAAACUGCACAGCCACGGAGGCUGCAUCCAGCAAACGAGGGCAGAGCCCCGGCACCCCUCCCCACAGGCGCUCAGAAGGGCCCAGCUGGUGGAGUGGACAGACUUAGGCACGUACAGGGCAAGGCCAACCCAGACCCCAUAAAAAAAGACCCACCACAUACAGACACCACCUCUUGGAGGUGAAACGUGGAAAUGGAGCGGGCCACAGCGAGGACCCACCAUGCAGAGACACCACCUCUUUGGGGUGAAGUGCGGAAAUGGGGUGGGCCACAGCGAGGGCUCAGUAUCCUGGGGCCCCAGAGCUGGCAUCUUUAGUGUGCUGGGCUCAACUGGGCCAGGAAUGGCUAAGAGGCUCACUCACAGAGUGGCCUGGGCUCCUCCCCUAACCCCACAGAAUCAGAACUUCCAGGCCUGGGAACUGCAUUUUUAAGAGACAGGGUCUCGAUGUGUCACCCAGGUUGGAGUGCAGUGCCACAGUUAUAGCUCACUGCAGCCUCAAACUCCUCGAUUCAUGUGAUCCUUCUGCCUCAGCCACCCAGGUAGAUAGGACUACAGGUUACAGAUAUAUGCCACCAUGCCUAGCUAAUUGUUGUAUUUUUUGUAGAGACAAGGUCUCACUUUGUUGCCCAGACUGGUCUCAAACUCCUGGCCUUAAGUGACCCUCCUGCCUGGGCCUCCCAGAGUGCUGAGAUUCCAGGUAUGAGCCACUGCGCCCAGCUGUAAUCUUUGUUCAUAAUAAACUUUCCAGCCAUCUGA